UACGGGGGGGGCAAGCGUUGUUCGGAAUUACUGGGCGUAAAGGGUUCGUAGGUGGCUUGCUAAGUCAGACGUGAAAUCCCUCAGCUUAACUGGGGAACUGCGUCUGAGACUGGUGAGCUUGAGUGCAGGAGAGGAACGCGGAAUUCCGGGUGUAGCGGUGAAAUGCGUAGAUAUCUGGAGGAACACCGGUGGCGAAGGCGGCGUUCUGGACCGGUACUGACGCUGAGGCGCGAAAGCGUGGGUAGCAAACGGG
rnacentral:rRNA from 1 species